rnacentral:rRNA from 1 species
AGAGUUUGAUCCUGGCUCAGAUUGAACGCUGGCGGCAUGCCUUACACAUGCAAGUCGAACGGCAGCACGGAGCUUGCUCUGGUGGCGAGUGGCGAACGGGUGAGUAAUAUAUCGGAACGUACCCUAGAGUGGGGGAUAACGUAGCGAAAGUUACGCUAAUACCGCAUACGAUCUAAGGAUGAAAGUGGGGGAUCGCAAGACCUCAUGCUCGUGGAGCGGCCGAUAUCUGAUUAGCUAGUUGGUAGGGUAAAAGCCUACCAAGGCAUCGAUCAGUAGCUGGUCUGAGAGGACGACCAGCCACACUGGAACUGAGACACGGUCCAGACUCCUACGGGAGGCAGCAGUGGGGAAUUUUGGACAAUGGGCGAAAGCCUGAUCCAGCAAUGCCGCGUGAGUGAAGAAGGCCUUCGGGUUGUAAAGCUCUUUUGUCAGGGAAGAAACGGUGAAAGCUAAUAUCUUUUGCUAAUGACGGUACCUGAAGAAUAAGCACCGGCUAACUACGUGCCAGCAGCCGCGGUAAUACAUAGGGUGCAAGCGUUAAUCGGAAUUACUGGGCGUAAAGCGUGCGCAGGCGGUUUUGUAAGUCUGAUGUGAAAUCACCGGGCUCAACCUGGGAAUUGCAUUGGAGACUGCAAGGCUAGAAUCUGGCAGAGGGGGGUAGAAUCCACGUGCAGCAGUGAAAUGCGUAGAUAUGUGGAGGAACACCGAUGGCCAAGGCAGCCCCUGGGUCCAGA